rnacentral:rRNA from 1 species
UACAGAGGGGGCAAGCGUUGUUCGGAAUUACUGGGCGUAAAGGGCGCGUAGGCGGGCUGCCAAGUUUGGGGUGAAAUCCUCCGGCUCAACCGGGGAAGUGCCUUGAAUACUGGCGUGCUCGAGGGAGGUAGGGGCAGCGGGAACUGCCGGUGGAGCGGUGAAAUGCGUUGAUAUCGGCAGGAACGCCGGUGGCGAAAGCGCGCUGCUGGACCUCUUCUGACGCUGAUGCGCGAAAGCUAGGGGAGCAAACGGG